UUUCUUAUUUUUUUUUCAAAACGCGUGGGCUUCGCCUAGCGAGCAUGACAGUUCAAGAAAUUCCUCUGAGCGUAGGUGAUUCUGGUGGCUUUUCUUGGGACUCGCUAGGCCAUCCAUUCUGCGCGCCUAGUGAGCAUGACAGCUCAUGAACAAACUUUUGCUCCUUCAAGAUUAACGUUUUGACUGAUGAAUAGAACCCAUUUGAACAUGUUGG
rnacentral:lncRNA from 1 species